UGCUACUGGCACCAAAAUAAAAUGAAGAUAAGACGACAAAACGCUACUCUCUCUCUCACUCAUUUUCUGUUCAAUCUAUCUAACCAAGAGCAGAGAGCAAAAACAAUUAAUGGCUACUUUAACAUUCUCUGCAGCUCAAUCGAGUUCAGUUUCGGGCUUCAACCACAGAGCCCGUCAUUCCAAUCUUUUCUUUGUUAGAGCCCCACGAUUUUUCAAUCGUUUAAAAAGAAGAAACUUGUCCGUCAAGAACAUUGCUAGUGACCAAAGGCAAGAAUUGAAAGAUCCCUCUGUCAAUGGAGAAGCUUCUUUAGAGACCCUCGACUCUGCAUCUAUUGCAGCCAGUAUUCAAUGCCAUGCAGAAUUCACACCAUUAUUCUCUUCAGAACAUUUUGAUCUUCCCAAGGCGUUUGUGGCAACUGCAGAAAGCGUUCGCGAUUCGCUAAUUAUAAAUUGGAAUGCCACAUAUAAGUACUACGAGAAGAUGAAUGUAAAGCAGGCUUAUUACCUGUCUAUGGAGUAUCUACAGGGCAGAGCAUUGCUAAAUGCUAUCGGGAACUUGGAGCUUUCAGGAGCUUACGCUGAUGCUUUGAGAAAGUUGGGCCACGAGUUAGAGGAUGUAGCUGGAAAGGAACCAGAUGCUGCACUGGGCAAUGGGGGCUUAGGGCGGCUUGCUUCCUGCUUUCUGGAUUCGUUAGCAACACUGAACUAUCCUGCUUGGGGGUAUGGACUCAGGUACAAAUAUGGCUUGUUCAAACAGCUCAUCACAAAAGAUGGGCAGGAGGAAGUUGCAGAAAAUUGGCUUGAGAUGGGCAAUCCAUGGGAAAUUGUAAGAAAUGAUGUCUCCUAUCCUGUUAAAUUCUAUGGAGAAGUUAUUUCCAAGCCUGAUGGAAGAAAAGAAUGGAUUGGAGGAGAAAACAUCACAGCUGUUGCGUAUGAUGUCCCAAUUCCUGGAUAUAAAACUAAAACCACAAUAAACCUUAGAUUGUGGUCCACUAAAGUUGCACCGAAUGAAUUUGAUUUACGUGCUUAUAAUGCUGGCGAUCAUGCCAAGGCGUGUGCAGCUCUAAAGAAUGCCGAAAAGAUUUGCUACAUAUUAUACCCUGGAGAUGAAUCAAUUGAGGGCAAGAUUCUAAGGUUAAAGCAACAAUAUACACUAUGCUCUGCAUCUCUCCAAGAUAUCAUUGCUCACUUUGAAAGGAGAUCAGGGAAGCCUGUAAAUUGGGAAAAUUUUCCAGAUAAGGUUGCAGUGCAAAUGAAUGACACUCAUCCAACACUUUGCAUCCCGGAGCUGAUAAGAAUUUUGAUAGAUUUGAAGGGUUUGAGCUGGAAGGAAUCAUGGGAUAUUACUCAGAGAACUGUUGCAUACACAAAUCACACAGUUUUGCCUGAGGCUCUGGAGAAAUGGAGCUUAGACCUUUUGCAGAAACUUUUGCCACGACAUGUUGAGAUCAUUAGGAUGAUUGAUGAAGAGCUGAUUCAUACCAUAAUUGCGGAGUAUGGCACAGAGGAUCUCAACUUGUUGCAGCAUAAGCUAAAGCAAAUGAGAAUUCUUGAUAAUGUUGAGUUGCCUGACUCGGUUCUAGAAUUGUUAGUUAAACAAGAAGAAAGUUCUGCUGUUGACUCCAUUAAGGAAGUUAGAGUCUCAGAUAAAGAAACUGAAUCUACUGAUGAAGAACAGGCUGAAGAACAGGACACUGAUGCGAAAGAUGUGGUGACAUUCGACCCAGAUCCAAAUCUGCCAAAGAUGGUCCGCAUGGCUAAUCUAUGUGUUGUCGGCGGGUCUGCUGUAAAUGGAGUUGCUGAGAUUCACAGUGAGAUAGUAAAAAAUGAAGUAUUUAAUGAGUUCUAUAAGUUGUGGCCUGAGAAAUUUCAGAAUAAAACAAAUGGGGUGACACCAAGAAGAUGGAUUCGUUUUUGCAAUCCAGAUCUCAGUAAAAUCAUAACCAAGUGGACCGGAACAGAUGAUUGGGUCUUAAACACUGAGAAACUGUCGACACUUGCAAAGUUUUCUGAUAAUGAGGACCUCCAAUCUGAGUGGAGGGAAGCCAAAAAAAGAAACAAGAUCAAGGUUGCGGACUUCGUUAAAGAAAAGACUGGAUAUAUUGUCAAUCCUGACGCAAUGUUUGACGUACAGGUAAAGCGCAUCCACGAAUACAAGCGGCAGUUACUGAAUAUAAUGGGAAUUGUAUAUCGCUAUAAGAAAAUGAAAGAAAUGAGUCCUGAGGAAAGAAAGGCGAGGUAUGUUCCUAGGGUAUGUAUAUUUGGAGGCAAAGCAUUUGCUACGUAUGUCCAGGCCAAGAGGAUUGUGAAAUUUAUCACAGAUGUGGGAACUACUGUUAAUCAUGAUGCAGACAUAGGCGACCUUUUGAAGGUUGUCUUUGUACCUGAUUACAAUGUCAGUGUGGCAGAAGUACUGAUUCCGGGAAGCGAGCUUUCGCAGCACAUCAGCACGGCUGGAAUGGAGGCCAGUGGAACUAGCAAUAUGAAGUUUGCAAUGAAUGGCUGCAUUCUUAUUGGCACCUUAGAUGGAGCUAAUGUUGAAAUAAGGCAAGAGGUCGGCGAAGAUAAUUUUUUCCUCUUUGGUGCAGAGGCACACGAAAUUGCAGGCCUAAGAAAGGAAAGGGCUGAGGGAAAAUUUAUCCCUGAUCCAAGGUUCGAAGAAGUAAAGGCGUUUGUCAGAAAUGGUGUUUUUGGCCAUUACAACUAUGAAGAACUCAUGGGAUCCUUGGAAGGAAAUGAAGGUUAUGGCCGAGCUGAUUAUUUCCUUGUUGGCAAGGAUUUCCCUAGCUAUGUAGAGUGCCAGGAGAAGGUUGACGAGGCAUAUAAAGAUCAGAAAAGAUGGACAAAAAUGUCGAUUUUGAAUACAGCUGGCUCAUACAAGUUCAGCAGUGACAGAACGAUUCACGAAUAUGCAAGAGACAUAUGGAGGAUCCAACCUGUUCGAUUGCCUUGAAUUGAUUAGAUCUGCAGGGCCGGGGGUGCGAACUAUAUUGGUGUAAAUCCCAAACUUGAUGUACUGUUAUUACAUAGGAUUCAUGAACAUGCGAGAGACAUGUAUGGAGUUCGAUCUUCCAGAAUCUAGACAGUGAAGAUUGCAAUAGAAAAGAUCUCUUACAAGGGUUUUACUACAAAUAUUAUCCUUGCAAUUCUGGAGCAGAAUUACCUUGAAGAAAUACCACUGGAUCCAAAUCAGGACAGGAAACCGUAGCAGUAACCAGCGGCAGAAGCCCAUGAAGUAGAGCAUAAUAUAACAGCAAGGAUGGCUUCUGUCGCAUGCCUGAGGUUAAAAAUAAAUUUUAAAAAC